rnacentral:rRNA from 1 species
UACAGAGGUCUCAAGCGUUGUUCAGAUUCAUUGGGCGUAAAGGGUGUGUAGGUGGCGCCGUUAGUCGGGUGUGAAAUUUCGGAGCUUAACUCCGAAACUGCAUUCGAUACUGCGGUGCUUGAGGACUGGAGAGGAGACUGGAAUUCAUGGUGUAGCAGUGAAAUGCGUAGAGAUCAUGAGGAAGACCAGUGGCGAAGGCGGGUCUCUGGACAGUUCCUGACACUGAGACACGAAGGCCAGGGGAGCAAACGGG